rnacentral:miRNA from 1 species
AUCUGUGAAGCAGCUCCCCUGUCCUCCCGCACAAUGCUGUGUGGAGCGUUGCCAUGCGUUACUAUGGCAAAGCUCCACACAGUAUCGCGUGGGAGGACAGGGGAGCUGCUUCACAGAU